rnacentral:rRNA from 1 species
ACGUAGGUGGCUAGCGUUGUCCGGAAUUAUUGGGCGUAAAGGGAGCGCAGGCGGACAUUUAAGCGAACUUUAAAAGUGCGGGGCUUAACCCCGUGAUGGGGUUCGAACUGGAUGUCUUGAGUGCAGGAGAGGAAAGUGGAAUUCCCAGUGUAGCGGUGAAAUGCGUAGAUAUUGGGAAGAACACCAGUGGCGAAGGCGGCUUUCUGGACUGUAACUGACGCUGAGGCUCGAAAGCCAGGGUAGCGAACGGG